rnacentral:tmRNA from 1 species
CCCCUUUUCAUGGGCGGGGCGGGGGGCUAUAUAAGCUCUGUCUCCCAUCCGGGGGACUAUGGCGAUAAACGCGCACGUAAUAAGCGGCUCGGACCCGGGGGCGGUACCCGGCGGCUCCACCAAUCUCCCUGCCAUCGGUCAUUGACGAUGGGGUUCGGGGAAGCGAGGGGCCGAAACAGGAUCGACGGACGUCUAAAGGUGUUAGCUUUCGCUCGGCAGGAUGCCACCGUUACCGGCUCAAAUUGUACAGUUGCCAAUGACAACCGUGCUCCGGUGGCCGUCGCUGCGUAACGCAGCUUAAACCACCGAACUUCAAGUCCCUGGGCUUAGCCGUUCAGGGCGGGGCUCGCAGGCGCCUGGCAACAGAAGCCUGCACU